rnacentral:tRNA from 1 species
CAAAGGAUAGUUUAAAUUAAAAUUUUAAUUUUGGAGAUUAAUAAUAAGGAGAAUUUCCUUUCCUUUGA